AGGACGAACGCUGGCGGCGUGCUUAACACAUGCAAGUCGAACGAGGUCCAACCAGUGGCAACACUGGGGAAGGCCUAGUGGCGAACGGGUGAGUAACACGUGAGCAACCUGCCCCGAAGACUGGGAUAACAGCGGGAAACUGCUGCUAAUACCGGAUAUCCCCACCGAAUCGCAUGGUUUGGUGAGGAAAUGGAUUCCGCUUCGGGAGGGGCUCGCGGCCUAUCAGCUUGUUGGUGGGUAACGGCCUACCAAGGCAACGACGGGUAGCUGGUCUGAGAGGACGAUCAGCCACACUGGGACUGAGACACGGCCCAGACUCCUACGGGAGGCAGCAGUGGGGAAUCUUGCGCAAUGGGCGAAAGCCUGACGCAGCAACGCCGCGUGAGGGAUGAAGGUCUUCGGAUUGUAAACCUCUUUCAAGUAGGGACGAUAAUGACGGUACCUGCAGAAGAAGCUCCGGCCAACUACGUGCCAGCAGCCGCGGUAA
rnacentral:rRNA from 1 species